rnacentral:rRNA from 1 species
GACGAACGCUGGCGGCGUGCCUAAUACAUGCAAGUAGAACGCUGAAGGAGGAGCUUGCUUCUCUGGAUGAGUUGCGAACGGGUGAGUAACGCGUAGGUAACCUGCCUGGUAGCGGGGGAUAACUAUUGGAAACGAUAGCUAAUACCGCAUAAGAGUAGAUGUUGCAUGACAUUUGCUUAAAAGGUGCAAUUGCAUCACUACCAGAUGGACCUGCGUUGUAUUAGCUAGUUGGUGGGGUAACGGCUCACCAAGGCGACGAUACAUAGCCGACCUGAGAGGGUGAUGGGCCACACUGGGACUGAGACACGCCCAGACUCCUACGGGAGGCAGCAGUAGGGAAUCUUCGGCAAUGGACGGAAGUCUGACCGAGCAACGCCGCGUGAGUGAAGAAGGUUUUCGGAUCGUAAAGCUCUGUUGUAAGAGAAGAACGAGUGUGAGAGUGGAAAGUUCACACUGUGACGGUAUCUUACCAGAAAGGGACGGCUAACUACGUG